UACGUAGGCAGCAAGCGUUGUUCGGAGUUACUGGGCGUAAAGGGUGCGUAGGUGGCUCUAUAAGUAUGGUGUGAAAUCUCCCGGCUUAACUGGGAGGGUGCGCCGUAGACUGUGGGGCUAGAGUGUGGGAGAGGAAAGUGGAAUUCCGGGUGUAGCGGUGGAAUGCGUAGAGAUCCGGAAGAACACCGGUGGCGAAGGCGGCCUGCUGGGCAGUUGCUGACACUGAGGCGCGACAGCGUGGGGAGCAAACAGG
rnacentral:rRNA from 1 species